UACGUAGGGACCAAGCGUUGUUCGGAUUUACUGGGCGUAAAGGGCGCGUAGGCGGCGCAAUAAGUCACUUGUGAAAUCUCCGGGCUUAACUCGGAGCGGCCAAGUGAUACUGUUGUGCUAGAGUGCAGAAAGGGCAAUCGGAAUUCCCGGUGUAGAGGUGAAAUUCGUAGAUAUCGGGAGGAACACCAGUGGCGAAGGCGGCGAUCUGGGAAGAUACUGACGCUGAGGAGCGAAAGCGUGGGGAGCAAACAGG
rnacentral:rRNA from 1 species